GCGCUAUUACCCUGAAGCGUUAUCAAACACGAACCACUAUCGACCCGAGAACCGCUAUUUGGUUUGUGAAUGAUAGCUCGUCGGGGUGAUAGCGCGCCCGCUUGUGGCAAAUUCAGGGGGAGUCUUGAACCAAGUCUAGCGCCUUGACCGAAGGCUACAUUCUCUUGUGUCGUGGCUACAGUACAAGCAGACACGUUGCGAUGUGAACCGUGGGUACAGAGGCAAAGAGUCAACAACAGACCAUUUUGUUGAUGAGGAGUCUUUUGUAGAGUGUUGACUACAACUGAUCUGUUGAGCAUCAGUGGACGUACAUACUGUAGUGCCAGGGGCGCCUUUGACUGGAGGCUACAUUCUCUUGUGCGAUGGUGAACUACAACCAGACCUGUUGCGAUGUGAAUCCUUGGGUGGAGCGAUAUAGAUGCUUACAUUACAGUCCACAACAGACCACUUGUUAAGGAGUGCUUUGCAGAGUGGUGCUACAACUGAGCUGUUUGGAUGAGCAUCUGGGGUGAUGCGAGCACCUUGACUGAAGACUACAUUCUCUUGUGCAGUGGCUAGAGCUGGAGCUGUUGAGUUUGGCAUUAGAGGAGAGUAUACAGUGUUUACCGUCUGGGUUGCAGGGAACGCCUUGACUGAAGGCUACAUUCUCUUGUGCAGUGGCUAGAGCUGGAGCUGUUGAGUUUGGCAUUAGAGGAGAGUAUACAGUGUUUACCGUCUGGGUUGCAGGGAGCGCCUUGACUGAAGGCUUCAUUCUCUUGAGCCAUCGCGACUACAACCAGACUUGUUUCAUUGGGGAAUCAUUGGAGGAUACAGACCACUUGAUUGAGACAAUGACCUUGGAGAAGACAUACACCCAACCUUGAGGCUCAUCACUGCCUUUUAGACUGUGCCACCAGCUGAGGAAGGACUACAACAAGUCUAGCCAGAUGACUUUCUGUUCUGACACAACACGUUCAACUGCUGUAGUUAAAUAGGAUAUGGAGGUUAACCAACGCAUUUUAGACUGUGCAAGGACUGCAUUGAGCCUAGCCAAAUGACUCUUCGACAUGUUGGACCGUUCAAGUGAGUUUGAGGCUAUAACUAACACUAAGUUGAGGCCAAUGAACGCUGUUUGGAUGGUGUGCCACCAUCUGAAAGACUGUGUCAAGUGUAACUAGAAGACUCUGCUUUAAGUUCAACCAUUGAAGUGGCGAUCGUAGAGACGUUGGGGCUACAAAACAUUUUGGACUGUCACGAGCUGACAAAAGACUGUGUCAAGUCUAGAUGAUUCCCCACAUGUACGACUAGAACAAGCAGGACCAUGACGGCACCAUAGUGGAUACAGACACUUGAAGAGUAGAGACACUAGACUAUGUAUGUCUGAGUUUGUGACUGCAGCUAAGGCUGUGGCCGUUGCAGCGAGCCUCAACUGCUUUACACAAAUAUAACCCAUGUUCACAUGAAUGAUCAAGUCACAGCCGUAUCUGCAGCCACAAACUCAGCCUUGGUUUAACAUAAGUAUAGGCUUCUCUUGAAUCCAUCAACCUCCAACCAAUGUACAAUGUACUCGCAUAAGGACCAAAUUUUAUGAAGUUUAAACAGAAAGUUCUGCCAAGCCAAUAAAUUUUGUAAUAACAUUUGGCAAUAAAAAAAAUAAGUAUAAUGACUGAUGUACCUGUCUUUGCAAUGGUAACUGUAUGGUAUUCUGGCUGCUAACCUACUUUUGCUAAGCAAGCUUUUGUGCUUACAAGCUAGAUGAAAUAUAGUCCAUGUUUUACAAAUAUUGGCACACCUGGCCCCAUGCCAAACACUGUUGAUUUAUCAUACAGAAUAAGACUAACUAUAUUCAAGUACAAUAUAUUUUGGACUUUGAUGGAUUCACAGUAGUUAGGAAUAGAACUUCAAGAUGGUACAGCUUUUGUCUUUAGACAUGCUUUUAUCAAAAUCUGAGGUAACCCGUUAAACCCGGAAACAUCUGUGUUGUGUAAUGUGUAGUGCAAUUCAUGAAGUAUUUUUGCUUGAUGAGAUACUUUGCCUGAAAAUGAGUGAAAAUGUAAAAAAAACAUUGGUCACAGUUUGCAACUGGAGAAUUAAUUUUUGUGCAAUAACUGAAGCUGUACCACUAUGUAAAAAUAAUGUCAACAAGGGGGCCCAGUGUUUGGAAAUAAGUGCUUGUCUGUGAUUAAAUUCAAAAUCAUUUAUAUUUUCUAAGAAAUGCCCAUGAUAAUUUUUCAGUCAUGUAAAAAAAUUUAUAAAGGGAGACAACCGGAUAAAUUGAUGUUUAUAUAAUCAAGAUAGAAUGUCAAGUUGUUUAGUUCAAUUUGUAAGAUUUUACACCAAUUGGAAUUGUCCUAAGCUACACAAGUUUAUGUAGCAAAGUAAACUUGCAUUAAUCAUGAGGUAUGACUAAAAAAUGUGUGGGACAUUUCAAAGUGUACACUUGAGCACCAAUUGACAGGAUACUCUUCCAUUGAGAAAUUCUCAAGCAAAAGUUGCAAUGCGAACACAAGUCCGUUGCAAUGCGAACACAAGUCCGUUGCAAUGCGAACACAAGUCCGUUGCAAUGCGAACACAAGUCUGUUGCUAUGCGAACACAAGUCUGUUGCAAUGCGAACACAAGUCUGUUGCAAUGCGAACACAAGUCCGUUGCAAUGCGAACACAAGUCCGUUGCAAUGCGAACACAAGUCUGUUGCAAUGCGAACACAAGUCUGUUGCAAUGCGAACACAAGUCUGUUGCUAUGCGAACACAAGUCUGUUGCAAUGCGAACACAAGUCUGUUGCAAUGCGAACACAAGACUGUUGCAAUGCGAACACAAGUCUGUUGCAAUGCGAACACAAGUCUGUUGCAAUGCGAACACAAACCAUGGCCACCAUCGCAGCACAAAGGGCUCAGGUUCACAAAGAAUACAAAUCUUGCUAAGCAAAGUGUGAUUUCUUGUCACAAUACAAAUCACUUAAAGGCAGUGGAUACUAUUGGUAAUU